rnacentral:lncRNA from 1 species
UUAAAUUGAUUAAGUUAUCUAAAAAUAACAUUAUAGGCAUUUUGAUUUAUUUAAAUAGUGUGUGCUUCUCGGUGUGUUUCUUUGAUUCGAUCCAGGCCAUCAAUUCGAAUGAAUCAGUGGCUAUUAUUAGCAAUCCACAUUUAUCUCAUUUAUCCAAUCAAAAAUUAGGAUUUAAUAAAUACUAUUAUUUAAGAAAAUAUGAAAAUAAAUAAAAUUAAAAAAUAAACUCUCUCUCUCUCUAGUACAUUUCCUCCAACGGAUAUAAAAAAAAUAAUAAAAAAAGGGAUGGUGACAGGAGUCAUCACCAACAUCUCUCUGCUUUUAACAGCCCUACUCUCC